GACAGAGGGGGCAAGCGUUGCUCGGAAUUACUGGGCGUAAAGGGCGCGCAGGCGGCUGCUCAAGUCAGGCGUGAAAGGCCUGGGCUCAACCCGGGAAUUGCGCUUGAGACUGGGCUGGCUUGAGUGCGGGAGAGGAUGGUGGAAUUCCCAGUGUAGAGGUGAAAUUCGUAGAUAUUGGGAAGAACACCGGUGGCGAAGGCGGCAUCCUGGACCGGCAUUGACGCUGAGGAGCGAAAGCCAGGGGAGCAAACGGG
rnacentral:rRNA from 1 species